UUAGAUGGCGAAAAAAUUUGCACCGGU
rnacentral:sRNA from 1 species